UGUGUGUGGUGCUUGUGUUGGAGGUGUGUGGUGCAAAGGCAUGAAGUGAAGCUCAAGAAAGUUUGGGUAAAUGUCUUAUUUACCCAAUGAAAGGAUAUUUAGUGUUUCCAAUGUGUACCUAUGAUUAAUGUGCGUUAUAGUGCAUGGCUUCGGAGGUUAAUGUAGUGUGAUUGUGGAGGACAGUAUCCCGAAACGCCGUCAGUAGACCCAAGAUGGCUGAAUUUUGAAGGACCCUUUGUUCCGGAUGUUGUCAGUAUGAAAGUUGAGUCCCUCGUGACGGAACGGGCGAGUGAGAGAGACUUCGUGACAUGUUUAGUUCCCUCUCCUCCAGCAACGGGGCGGUGGUGCACCAGAGUCACAAGAAACGAAAGCUUGAACAUCAACAGCAUCAACAGAGGGACUAUGCUCAGGCUGCAGCAGACAGCUUAUAUACAAUAAAUGUUAAUCAGAUAAACCAGUCCGUUGUCCGACACCACGCACAAACCAAUAACAAUGCAGCCCAAAAAAGCCCAAACAGUGUCGCAUCACAGCAGUUUAUCCGUGCCUCGACAAUAAAGCUGUUUGAUACGUACCAGCGUUGCGGCCAAAAGCGCAAGUCUUGUGAACGGGAGGGUGAUGUGGGCAGUGGGAGCGGCGAUACAGGGACCACUACAACCACGGGCGCACACACGACAGCUGCCACGACGACGGCCGGGCACGGCACGGGCAAGGGGGGCGGCCCGGCUGCGCCCCAAGGGUCGUCUUCUGCCGAUGGUGACUAUCAGCUUGUCCAACAUGAGGUGUUGUACUCCAUGACAACCCAGUAUGAGGUACUGGAGUUUCUGGGACGUGGGACAUUUGGACAGGUAGUUAAGUGCUGGAAGAAAGGCACAAAUGAAAUUGUUGCCAUUAAAAUACUCAAGAAUCAUCCAUCAUAUGCUCGGCAGGGUCAAAUUGAAGUCAGCAUUCUCUCUCGCCUUAGCCAAGAAAAUGCAGACGAAUUCAAUUUUGUCAGAGCCUUUGAGUGCUUCCAGCACAAAAACCAUACAUGUUUGGUAUUUGAGAUGCUUGAGCAGAAUUUAUAUGAUUUCCUGAAACAGAAUAAAUUCAGCCCUUUGCCUCUCAAAUACAUUCGACCAAUACUUCAACAAGUAUUAACAGCGCUUUUGAAAUUGAAGCAACUUGGUCUCAUUCAUGCUGAUUUGAAACCUGAGAACAUCAUGCUGGUUGAUCCUGUGAGGCAGCCUUAUAGAGUGAAGGUAAUAGACUUUGGAAGUGCGUCUCACGUAAGCAAGGCUGUCUGCAAUACCUAUCUGCAAAGUCGCUAUUACCGAGCACCAGAAAUAAUAUUAGGUUUGCCGUUUUGUGAGGCAAUUGACAUGUGGUCGUUAGGCUGUGUUGUUGCAGAACUUUUUCUCGGAUGGCCACUUUACCCAGGGUCUUCAGAAUACGAUCAGAUUAGAUACAUCAGUCAGACUCAGGGCCUUCCUACGGAGCAUAUGUUGAAUAACGCCUCUAAAACUACAAAAUUUUUUUAUAGAGACAUGGACAGCACGUAUCCGUUUUGGCGACUGAAGACUCCUGAAGAGCAUGAAGCGGAGACUGGAAUAAAGUCCAAGGAAGCAAGAAAAUACAUUUUCAAUUGCCUUGAUGACAUUGGUCAAGUAAAUGUUCCUACAGACUUGGAAGGUGGAGAACUCCUUGCUGAGAAAGCUGAUCGGAGGGAGUUCAUCGAUCUUCUUAAAAGAAUGCUGACAAUGGACCAGGUAGAGCGCCGCAUCACACCUGGUGAAGCACUCAAUCAUGCUUUUGUGACACUGGCACAUCUUGUAGACUAUGCACAUUGCAACAAUGUGAAAGCUAGUGUUCAGAUGAUGGAAGUUUGCCGUCGCAAUGGGUAUAAUGGUACAUCAACGACAUCUCAUCAUCAGACGGCGCAGGCUGGACCACCUCCUCUGGUCAACUUUGUACCCAGUUCCAAUGGCAAUGUUACCUUAACGUUCAACAAUCAGCUGAGCAAUCAGGUACAACGCCUGGUGAGAGACAGGGCCGGAUAUGAAAACCUGUAUCAGUUGUACAAUGGGCGAUCGGUAGCACGGCAGUACACCAAUGCUGCACGUGGUGAUCCAUUUCAUCAGCAUCAGUUGGUUUCAUCCAUCCUUUGUCCCACUGGCUAUCAAGGAAUGGGUUCUCCUGCUAAACAUGUUACAGUUGUAGCUCAACAACCUCCUCCGCAGUUGCAGAUUCAGCCACCUAUCAUAUCUCAGCAGGUUGCACCUCAACAACAGUAUGUGCCUGUUUCCAUGGUUGAGCAAAGUGGACGCCAGAUGUUGUUGACGAAUGUUCAAACAUCUUGGCCUGGCAGUCGUCAAAUGGUGGUUCCUUCUUGGCCACAACAGCUGCCUCCGCAACAUGCUCUUCAGCAGCCAUUAAUUCCAGACCCAUCUGGUGACUGGGGGCGACCUCUCAUAGUUGAUUCCAGCACAAUAUUACAGGAACACCGGCCAGUGUUUCCUGUUGAUGUGGCCACUGCUGAUGUUUAUCAGUCAGGUUUGGUUGAACACCAGUCUUCAUCAGGGAGUCAUCAAUGGAGUAGCUCAAGCAAGAGAAGUGUUCCAAAAACAACAACACAUUUGGCACCCCCUGCACAAACUACUUCUCACCACCAUCACCAUCACCACCACCAUCUCACGCUGCAGCAUGUGCCAAAGAAAGAACCUACUCAACUUAGCCCUGUCAAGAAGAGAGUGAAAGAAGGAACACCACCAUCAGAUGCAAAUGUUUAUGCUGGAAAUGUGUCGAGUAGCAACAGUGGAAGGCGCAGGCAUUCGCCAAAUUCAAUUGCCACUUCAUGGCAGCAGCAGCAGCAGCAACAGCAGCAACAACAACAACAACAACAACAACAGCAGCAGCAACAACAACAACAACAACAACAGCAGCAGCAGCAGCAGCAGCAGCAACAACAACAGCAGCAGCAACCGCAGCAGCAGCCACAGCCAUCUUCAGGAAAACUGGAGGCACACACUCAACAUACAUUGCAACAUGCCUCACAGGUGCAACAGGUAGUUUCUGGUAGACAGCAGACUAUAACAAUUCAUGACACACCAUCACCAGCUGUGUCUGUCAUCACAAUUUCUGACAGUGAAGAUGAAGCAACUGGAAACUGCUGUAAGGAUAGGAACUGCGGUGCGUGUUGCGGUGGAUCAGCCGGCCUGGGUGCAUCUUGCCACAUCAGCUCCAACUGUCCCUCAGUGUUGACUGUAGCCUCUCAAGAUGAAGCAUAUCGCAGCACUCAGUCAACGCCACCUAGAAGUUCAGCAGCUGUAACAAGCAGCACACGUCAAAGAAAGAAUGUGAUUUCCUGUGUGACAGUCGCAGAUAGUGAUGGAGAAGAUCAGCACAGCCCAGCUAAAUUACAGCAGGCACAAAUGCAGCAGCAGCAGCAGCAACAACAACAACAACAACAACAACAACAACAGCAGCAACCAUCAAUAGCACAGCAACAGCCACAUCAGCCUCAGGUGCAACAGCAAGCACAACCACCUCAGCAGCAGCACCAGCAUCACCAAGUAUAUUUGCAGCCACCGCAGCAACAGACAUCACAGCAGCAGCAGCAGCAGCAGCAGCAGCAGCAUCACCACCACCACCAUCACCAACAGCAACCUGUACAACAGGUUCUGGUUCAGACACCAGUCCAAGUUACCAGAGAAAUAAAACACGAGCCACAACCCACCUCUGGGUAUUCAAGUGGAGCUUCACAAUCCCAAAAGAAGAGAUUGCUAGCGAAGGCCCAGUCAGAAUGUAUGCUUAAUGCAGUUGCUACAAAAAAAGAACCUGGACUUACUGAGUAUCACCAUGGUGAUUAUGCUCAUCAUUCAUCGUGUAGUAACACUUUGACAUCUUGUAAAGAUAAUGUGGCAGCAACAAGUUCAGCUUCAUACCACUAUGUGGCAACAUCUUCUGCAGGUCAUCCCACAACUUCUCAAGACCAGCACAUUGUGUACAGUGGGGCAUGUGUGUGUGUGGGUUGCAGUGGUGACAAGAGAAAUUCUUGGGCUCCUUCAUCAGCCCACAUGAGUAGAGAUUUGCUUGGUCCUCCAUCAGCUCAUAAACGAGAAUUAACUGUGCCUGUUUCCAACAGCCGUGAUUAUGUUCCUCAGCAAGCUGCUGUACAUAAGGAGUUCGUCCAGCCUCCAGCUGCUCAUUCGACGGCAUCAUUGUCUAGUCGUGGUGGAGGUGGAAGUGGGGCUUCAAAUAGUGAACAGCAAUUGAAGGGUUGGGCUACAACUGCCGCUACUGCCCCGCAUCCGCAGCAGGGAUACCGACACCUGUCUCCUCAGCCUGCAGCAUCAGUGUCCCACAGGCUUUCACCAUUGGCGGCGGCUGCUGGUCAGCCGCUCUACCAUCAGCCCGAACUGUACCGCCGCCCCGCAGUAUAUGUGACAGCUGCCCAACCGGCAGCAGCUGCUGCAUAUUUACCUGCUGGCCACCAGGUGGCGCCCUUCACCACAGGCAGGGCGCUGCCCCCGCCUGCUCAUCAUGCCAGUGCAAGACCUGUUUUGGCCACUCAUCCUUCACACCCAUUGCCAGCACAUAUGCAGCCAACAGCAGUGUUCCCGGCACACCCGCAAGUAGCUGCUUCCUAUGGAUUUGCACCUCUCAGCCCAUCAAAAACACAUCAGUACCAACCAAGCCUAUGGUUUACUGAGUGAAGUCUCUGGUGACCACCCUGUCGACACCAAAUUGCUUCCUAAAUUAGAAAUUUCCAUACUGGGACUCUGCUGAAUGCCUGUAUAUUCACAGUAUGAACCACAAAUUCGAUAGUGAAGACAAACGACAGGUCAUGUACAAAGUUAGUGUGUAACUCAGUGUAUUCUCAGUCAAGAGAACCAGAUUUGUAUAAAUAUUGUUAAAAAAUGUGAUUGUGAGGCUGAAAUUGCCAGGCAGAUUAGAAAUGUUAAUAGAAAAUGAAGGACAGGACAACAAUAUUCCUGUCAUACAAUUAAUUGAGAAAGCAAAAUGUUGGACCUGUUACUUGUUUUUAACAAUUGUGAAGUACGUUCACAGCAUUAUAUUUUGUGUAAAAUCAGUUCGUUUUUAGUAUGGUUAAAUGAAAUGACAUAUGCCUUUGUUCUACUGUUUUCUGUUCCCUUUUUUAUUUGUUAAAUAAUGGAAAGUUACACAUUUCAUAGUACAUUUGUCUUUCUUGGAAUAAUUCAGUUGUGAAUGAAAUUGAAAGGAGAGUUCAUUUAUUUGACAACAACUUUAACAAGAUUUUUCUUUCUCUUUGCGGUUCUAGCAUUCCUGCCUGCAGGUAACCACGUUUUAAAAUUGUGGUUCACUUUUUUUGUCCAGAUUAUAUAUAAUGAAAUGUUGUAUAUAUUUAUGGAGAAACAGUCCAUAAUUUUUUAUCACUUCACUUUUUGGUGUGGAAGUGUGAUGUUUGUAUAUAAUAGAAUAAGGUACAAUUCCUCAAUUUUAAAAAUGUGAUGUUUGUUAUAUAUUUACAUUUUAUCUUCAAUGACCAGUGGUCUUCGAAUUAAUAUACAAUUGAAGAAUGAUGGUGACCAAGCUUUUGUAGGAGCCUUAAGAGAGAUUUGUGGUAGAUUUAGGAAAGAGUCAGACUUCCAUUUAUAAUCUCAGAUCAAUGUGCCUGUUCAAAUAUCAGCAUGUAUUUAUUUGUAAGAAAUGCUCGCUAUAUAUAUUAUAUAUAUGUAUAUAUUAGUCACUGUUCUGUGUGUGUGCCACAAGUAUUACUGCCGUAGUACAUCUAGAAAAAAAAAUAUUUUACUAUUAUUAGAGAUAUAUAUAUAUAAAUAUUAUAUAUUUGUAAAUACUGACAUAUUGCUGUCAGUGUUGUUUAUAAAGGUUUAAUCUUUUUUCCUGGUUAUGUGAGGAGCGCCUAACAUAGUCAAUUAUCUCCUUUAUCUCCUGUGUUUUCCAAAGAACCUGCUUUCAGUAGAAGGACAAUUGAAAAUGUUUUUAAUCAAUUAUUCAUUUUUGGAACAGAGAGGUUCUUUCCUCAUCAUUCAACUAUUUUGAAUUUUUGUUAUCUCCAUGCACAGUAAAACUGUUCGCUUGGUUUCUUCUAGUAUAUCAUUCACACACCAAGAGCUGACAGGUGCUUGUAUCCUAUAUUAAGCUGGUUUAGAUAGUAAAUUAAGCGUUAUUUAGAUAUUUUUGCCCAAAUAUUCCGCUUCUAAGGAGAUUCAGAUUAUAACUGGGUGUUAUCUUGUUUGUUUCAUAGGAAAUGACAAUGUAGUAUUUAUGUUUUGAUGCCAUGCUCAAAAUAUCUAGUCUCUAGUUUGAAGGUGUGUUAAAUUUGCACUAUACUAAUCUCCUGCCCUGGAAAUGUAACUAAAAUAUUUGCCUGUGGAAUAGUGUUGAAAUAUUGAAAGAUUUAAUCUAGGUUUUUCAUAUAACUUAAUAAUUGAAGAUGUGAGGAGCUCUGUUAGGAUGGUAACAGUGCCAGGAUAUGGUGUCAUUAGUAUGUGUGUGUGUGUGUGUGUGUGUGUGUGUGUGUGUGUGUGAUUUUGAGCUUUGCAUGUUAUUAAGAAAAUUUCUGAUAUGCUCCACAUAGUUUUACUGAACAUUUUGCUCUUCAGUGUGACUGUCAAAAAAAUUCUGUAGGUAAAAAGUCUGUUAAACUGUCAGUGAAUUUAUAUAAUGUGUGGUUAUGAAAAUGUGUGCACUUUAGGUAGUCCCUGAACAGGUUCCAUUAAAAUGACUUGUAAAUAAGUCUUUCAGGAUUUUUGAGAACACUAGUACAAGCAAAUUAAAAUUCUGAAAUCCUGAGAGACACCAGUGCAUGAAAUAUGGUACCCUGUUUAAGAAGUGCAUGUAUGAAAUGCCACACCGUCACUGGCAGUGAGUGUUGUAGUUUGUAACAGUGAUAUUUGUUCCAGGAAGAUUUAAAAUAUUUUUGGAAAAUAACUGUGUUUCACAGUUUGUUGAAGGGUGACAUACUUUCCUUUAGGAUAGUUUUCACUGUAUGAGUUUUGCAUUUUAAAUAUGUACUGCAUCAUGAUUUCUACAUAUGUAUUAAGGUUUUACAUGUGUUUUAGCAAUCACUAAUGGACUGAGGAAGAAAUAGAGCAAAAAAUAUAGUUUACAAGUAAUGUAAAAUAAAUGGUGUUUUAUAGGAAUGUAAUUCCUUUAUGGCUUAUAAUUUUUAUCAUACCUCCUUUGCAGAGAGUUUGCUUUAUGUGGAUUCUAGCUGCCUUAAAGUGCAGAAAGUAAUAUGUAGAUAACAGGUUAUGGGAAAUAUACCACUUCUAUAUGUAAAUGGUAUGUGUUAGAUAAAAAUUGCAUUAUAUCAUUGAUGUAAUUAAAAGCAGAAAAUUAAUAUUUUUUUAUAGUAGUGGAACAAAGAAACACAUUAGUGUUUUAUGUACUGCACAGAUAAAUGUUUUAAAAAUAGUUUAACCAAACAAUUGCCUUACUAAAUAAUAAUAUUACUAAUAAUUGUCAUCAUUAUGUCUAUAGUAAUUGUCAUUGAUGUGAUCUGUUUUCUGCCAAUGUCCCGUGUGUGUGUGUGUGUGCGCGCGCGCAUGUGUGUGUACGUACGUGUCUGUGUCUCCUUAGUGACAGAUUUUGUAGUGUGUACCAAAGACAUAACAAUGUUCCUGCCUAUUAACUGAAAAAUGUUUUCUAGCUUAGCUUUGUGUAACAUAGAGAAUCUUUUGCUGGCAUUACUGACUUUUUUGAAAUUCAGUACAUCCAAGAGCAAGACUGCAGUAUUGUUAUUUUAUGCUUUUUAAUCUUUAUCUCUGUAAUAGUGCCAUAGCAUUUCAGUAAUACUAUGGUGAAUGUUUGUCAUUAUUCUCAUAAAGAUCACAGCUGCAUUUGUAGCAGCUCCAUGUAAAAUGUGAUUCAUAUUGUAGUAAAGAGUAAAGACAUGAGGAAAGGAGUUUCUCUGGGUUAUGCUGUAAAUAGAAGUUUGCCUGAAAGCAACUUUAAUUUCUAGAGUUCAUGCUGUAUAAAAGUAAUUGUAAGUAAUGUUGCCAGUUUUAGUGAGCAAUUUCAGUGAUGUAUUGCUGUUGCUGUUUUCACAGUUUUUCUUAAUAGAUAAGUAGGGCCUGUGCAUUUUGUCAGUGAUGCCAAGCUUUGAAAACUCCAAGCAUGGUGAAUAUUGGAAUGUUUAUCAGAUCCUUCACAGAUGUUAUGUUAUGCUUUACUUUAAAAAAAAUGAAGUUGUUAAAAUUGUAAGUUAUUGUGAAAUACCUGUAAGUACUGUUAAUAUGGCUUACCUUAUUUUAAUUAGCAUGGAACAUGAUUAUUCUUUGAAAAAGUAAAUUUCUUUUCUGUAGUGAGCAGUGAUUCAUGAUAUUGUGAAUAUUGUACUGAUCAACAAUGAAACUCUCUUAAUGGUUUUUGUACAAGUAAAACAUUAAUGACCUUAGUAUUUGUGAUUCAUAUUCGGUCUGUAGACAGCAAUGUUGAUAGUCUACACAGUUUAUUUAACUCAUUGGUACACAGUCAUUAUAAUUAACUUCAUUUAUUCCAUUGAUUAAUUAGUUAAGGCUUCAUAGUAGUGGGAAAUGGUGAAUUCAUUGGUAUGUUUACUCCCUUUCAUGAAACUUUUACUGUUUCAUAGAUGCAUGUUGAUUGUACCACUUUAAGUUUCUGUAUUGCUGUAAUUCCAAGUUAAAUGUUGUUCAUAUGAAACACAAAGGUUUCAAGGUUCUUAUAUAAUUUUCUCAUAGCCAUUAGAAAGUUACACAUGGUUAGAAGAGUUUUUGGUGUAUACACUCAAGGUGUAUUUCUUUGAUUAAUAUUAGCUUAUUAAUGUAUCAGUUACCAAACAUUGUUAGUGUGAAAAGCUUACAGGUACCUUUUGUAAUGACUAUAUUUGUAGUUUUCAGGAAGAGGCAAUGUAUUGAUAGUAAAGGGUGUAGAUCUUCAUUUUUAACAAUUGUCUGAGGCUGUUGGGUCGUACAUAUUGACUGGUAGUCUUGCAGUACACAGAGAAGCUAAACAAAUGAAAUAAUGUAAACAUUUCCCAACAUUUUCAGUAACUGUCUAUUUAAUGAAUCUCUCUCUCCUCCCCCUCCCCCUCCUACUCUAUCCCCCUCCCCCUCUAUCCCCCUCCCCCUACAUCCCUCCCCUUUCCUUCACUCCUAUCAUUGCAUGUACACACACUUGUGUGAAUAAUACACACAAUUGUAUGUUUAUGCAAUCACUGAAAUGGCUUUUUCCUCCCUUUUUUUGCCAAUGUUGCACACAUCAGAUAUAUAAAUUUUAAUUACUUUAUGGUGGUGAUGCUGUUUGAUUUAUCCUUAGGUUAUAUUUUUGAGGCUUUAGUUUGGUGGAAGGCCACAAUUGCAAUAUGUUCUCUAUAUCAGCCUUUUAUAUAACAAAUGUGAUAUUAAAUAUUUUUUACAUUAA